rnacentral:lncRNA from 1 species
AUCUCAUUUUUCUUCAGAGAUAGAAGCAAAUUAGAGUUACCCAAUCCUCAAUUUGAAAAUAAAUUGCUGAUUAAAUAAACAGGGGGAAGGAUGUUCAGUGACAACACAUUGGAGAGAUUCUUAUAAAAUCAUGCCAAGCCUUUCUGCCAUUCAGUGUGAUCUCAGUUUAACAUGGUGGCCCUGAAACACCGUCAUUUGCCCCAGGACUGGAGCAGAUGAGACCAUGUGAGACCCAUCUUUGCAAGAAAGACCGAAAAGCAAUGGCAACAGAUGGGAGUGAAUUACCAACGGCCCGGGCACCGUGAUGGCAGAAGGGCCUGUCUGCACUGAGCGUGGGGAGUUUGGCGAGAUGGAGCAAAAUCAAGGAGCACUCCUGCUGAGAAGUUGUGUGAGAUUUAGGAUGUGGGAUUCUUUCCUUGUUCUCUUCUGGAUGGCGUUGCAUUUUUACUCUUAACCCGAGGGUACGUCUCUCUUUAUGUUCCUUCUAUUUCAUGCAGGUUAACAAUCCAGGUGGAAUAGAAUGAGGGUUCUGGUUUGGGGGAUAG